AGCAGCCGCGGUAAUUCCAGCUCCAAUAGCGUAUAUUAAAGUUGUUGCAGUUAAAAAGCUCGUAGUUGAAUUUCGGGAUUGACGUGAUGGUCAUGCCUUAAGGGGUAUGAACUGUCACUGUUGAUUUCUCACCUUCUGGAGAAACUUGAUGUCCUUUAUUGGGUGUCUUGCGGAUCCAGGACCUUUACCUUGAAAAAUUAGAGUGUUUAAAGCAGGCAUUUUUGCUCGAAUACAUUAGCAUGGAAUAAUAGAAUAGGACGGCAUGGUUCUAUUUUGUUGGUUUCUAGGAUCACCGUAAUGAUUAAUAGGGAUAGUUGGGGGCAUUAGUAUUCAAUUGUCAGAGGUGAAAUUCUUGGAUUUAUUGAAGACUAACUACUGCGAAAGCAUUUGCCAAGGAUGUUUUCAUUAAUCAAGAACGAAAGUUAGGGGAUCGAAGACGAUCAGAUACCGUCGUAGUCUUAACCAUAAACUAUGCCGACUAGGAAUCAGACGAUGUAAUUUUUAAUGACUCGUUUG
rnacentral:rRNA from 1 species